rnacentral:tRNA from 1 species
CAAAAAAUAGCUUAAUAUAAAGCAAUUUAUUUACAUUAAAAAGAUACAUUAUAGUUUUUUUGA